AUUGGGGCCAACUCGACUAUUUAGUUGUUGACAUGCCACCAGGAACUGGAGAUGUGCAGUUAUCAGUCUCACAGAAUAUUCCCAUUUCAGGUGCUGUGAUUGUCUCCACACCCCAGGACAUUGCACUGAUGGACGCUCGCAAGGGUGCUGAGAUGUUUCGAAAAGUCCAUGUGCCUGUCCUGGGCCUUGUCCAAAAUAUGAGUGUUUUCCAGUGUCCAAAAUGUAAACAUAGAACUCAUAUUUUUGGUGCUGAUGGUGCAAGAAGACUAGCACGGACCCUUGAUCUUGAUGUUCUAGGAGACAUUCCCUUACAUCUUAAUAUAAGGGAAACUUCAGAUACAGGCCAGCCGAUUGUGUUUUCACAGCCUGAAAGUGAUGAGGCCAAAGCUUACCUGAGGAUUGCUGCAGAAGUGGUAAAAAGAUUGCCACCACCUCUAGAAGAUCCUAAGUUACACUGCAACCAAAUCUUCUGAAAUGUAUGAAAAGACAGACCCCUUCAAGGAAAGACAGGAUGCAAAUAUACCUUUGGCAAAACACAGAAGAAAGAGAUGACAAACUCCUUAAAAUAACAGAUGGGGGAAACAGUGCUGGGACAACUGGUUAUCUAUAUGGAAAAGAAUGGAUCCCUUCCUCAUGCCAUAUAAAAUCAACUUUAAAAGGUGGAAGAAACAGGUUUGGAAAGUUUAAUAAACUUACCUAUGUAAGACUGUCAAAGGAAAAUAUACCCAGAGAAACUCAGGAAUCAUGAUAGGCUUUUAUUAGCUGAAACAGUCCACAGUAUUAAGUGGAUGUCAACUGAUGAAUACCUUGCAUACAUCAAAGAGAGGUCCCAGCGCAUGCCAGCAUCAGCAAUCUGUCAGUCUCUGUACUGUAAUCUUUUUGUCAUCUUUGCCUAACUGUGGAUUGUCUGAAGUUCAUCCCAGACCCUGGUGAGCUUAUAGGGAGUAACUCUAAAGUUAUCCACCACCAGUUUUAUUGUUUGGGUCAAGUGUGUAGUCUCUGCAGAAUUAUUAAAUCAGGCUCCUCAAAAAGACCUCUGUUUGUUUAUUCAUCAGUUCCUCUAAGCAUGUCAUAUAAUUGCCAUCAAGGGGGGAGGGUGGUGAGGACGGUCCUAAUUGCACUGCAGGCGUUUGGGAGGGUCUGGAAUUGUCAGCUGCUAUUUGCAGCUUUGGUUGGCAUUAGAAGCAGGCAUGAAAGAAAACACAUGCUGAGACAUCUCUUGAGUCUAUCUCUAGACUGAGAACCUGGCUCAUUCCCACAUAAAGACCCACUUUUUUUUUUUUUUUUAAGACCCACUUUUAAAAGGCUAUUUUGUGUUCAUGAUGGCAAAUGCCAAGGGUGUGUGUGUGUGCGAGUAUGUGUGUUUGUGCACGUGUGCACUUGAAUGUUGAGCCUUUGAAACAAGCCUUGUAGACCUCUAUACCAUCAGAGUGUUAGUAUCAGAAAGGCAGUUCUGUGUCUGGCCGGAAUCUCAGAAAGGAGGCUGGGCUGCAGACAGAGUUUUGGGAGUCAUUAUAUGCCAGUGGAAGUUGAAACAUUUUGUUCUUUCUUAGAUAUCCUUUACAUCCUUCAACCCCCAGAUUCCUUAAUUCCAGCAUUAGAAAUUUAUAUUCCCCUUAACUAUACAAAAAAUCAGCAGACAUGUAACUCUUUAAAAUAAAGGUAUUGUGAUUUUUUUUUCCCCCUGUCAUCACACAGUUGUAAACACCGCUGGUGUAGGGUCUAAAUAAUCGUGUUAGUAGAAAAAUAAAGGGAGAAAACAUUGUAAAAUUUUAAAAGAAGAACAUUCAAAACUAUUUUUAUUAAUUUCAGAAAGAUUGGAGAGUGAAGACAGAUCCUCUUAAUGUCUUACAAGAAUGAAAUCCUUGAAGGGUUUAUAAUCACCGAAAAGGUAUCAAUAGAAUGUAUAGAAAAAUGGACAAAUCAGUUGUUCUACUUCUUAAAUACUGAAGCACAUCUAACGGUGCACCCAAGUACAGAAUUACAGAGGAGCAGAUGAAUGAAUGAAUGAAAGAACGAACGAAUGAGUCAGUAAAUUCUCCUUGAGAGUAAGUUAAGCUCAUUGGGAUAUCCCUUAUCUUCCUAACCUACUUACAAGUCAAUGGAUGAUGUGCCUUUAGUACCUGAGGGUCUCCCACUACUCCUAAACCAAAAGUAAAAAAAGAUAGAUUCAAUGUCCCUAUUAAUUUAUUAAUUAACUUUGCAUUAUUUCAUCAAGUGCCACCAAGAAAUUGCUGUCAGUCAGUCACUUUUCUUUUUCUUCUUCUCUAAUGUACAGAGCGGCUCCAAAUAAUACAUGCUUUUCAUUCAUUCUCUGUGUCAAAUCUGCAGGAAAGGUGGCGUCCCAGGGCCAGGGGACCAGUCUUUCAAGAUUGGUGGCGGUAGAUCUUACACCGAUGAAACCAAAUAUGUUUUGCUGAGAAUAUUGAUAAAACCAUUCAUUUUUACUGAGGGCUGUUCACACUGAUAGAUGGUCAAAAACAAGAAGCAAAAUAAAUAUGGAUGAUCCUGGUA